GACGAACGCUGGCGGCGUGCUUAACACGUGCAAGCCGAACGGAAAGGCCCUGCUUUUGUGGGGUGCUCGAGUGGCGAACGGGUGAGUAACACGUGAGUAACCUGCCCUUGACUUUGGGAUAACUUCAGGAAACUGGGGCUAAUACCGGAUAGGAGCUCCUGCUGCAUGGUGGGGGUUGGAAAGUUUCGGCGGUUGGGGAUGGACUCGCGGCUUAUCAGCUUGUUGGUGGGGUAGUGGCUUACCAAGGCUUUGACGGGUAGCCGGCCUGAGAGGGUGACCGGCCACAUUGGGACUGAGAUACGGCCCAGACUCCUACGGGAGGCAGCAGUGGGGAAUAUUGCACAAUGGGCGGAAGCCUGAUGCAGCAACGCCGCGUGCGGGAUGACGGCCUUCGGGUUGUAAACCGCUUUCGCCUGUGACGAAGCGUGAGUGACGGUAAUGGGUAAAGAAGCACCGGCUAACUACGUG
rnacentral:rRNA from 1 species